rnacentral:rRNA from 1 species
UACGGAGGGAGCUAGCGUUGUUCGGAUAUACUGGGCGUAAAGCGCACGUAGGCGGCGUCGUAAGUCAGGGGUGAAAUCCCGGAGCUCAACUCCGGAACUGCCCUUGAAACUGCAAUGCUAGAAUCUUGGAGAGGCGAGUGGAAUUCCGAGUGUAGAGGUGAAAUUCGUAGAUAUUCGGAAGAACACCAGUGGCGAAGGCGGCUUCUUGGCCUGUUCUUGACGCUGAGGCGCGAAAGCUGGGGGAGCAAACGGG